GACUAUCGACAACGAAUAUCUCGGAUCUCGCAUUGAUGAAGAAGGUAGAGAAAUGCGAUGCUUGGUGUGAAUAUUAGAAUCACAUGAACCAUCGAGUCUUUGAACGCAAGUUGUGCCCGAAGCCAUUUGGCCGAGGGCAUGUCUGCCUGGGCGUCA
rnacentral:rRNA from 1 species